rnacentral:tRNA from 1 species
GUUAAUGUGGCAGAGUCAGGUAACUGCAAAAGCUCUAAGAUCUUUUUACCGAGGGUUCAACUCCUUCCGUUAACU